CAGAACUUUAAUAAUAUUCUAAUACUUAAACCUUUGUUUUCUUUUUCUUUGUUUUCUACAGUCACUUGACAACCACAGUGAUACUUUGAGAGCUGAGGGGUUAUCUUUGAGAGGAGCUAUGCAGGGAACAACUAGGAGAUCUGAUGGACCUGCCCGGGGAUCAGCAGAGGGGCUUGGGGAAACUGUUUGGGGACCUGAAGGAGGACUUCCUGGGAGACCUGUAGGGAGACUUGCUGUGAGUCCUACAAAAGGAUUUGCUGAGAGAUGUGCAAAGGGAAAUACUGUGAGUCCAGUGAGAGGUGUUUCUGUGAAACCUGGAGUGGAACUUGCAGUGAGUCCUGCAAGAGGACAUGAUGAGAAACGAGCAAGGGGACAUACCAUGGGUCCUACAAGGGCACUUGUGAAUCCUACAGGGGGACUUAUUGUGAGACUUGAAGUGGGACCUGAUGCUAGUCCUGGAGGAAGCCAUGCUGUGAGCCCUUUGAAAGGAUAUUCUGAGAUAAAUACAAAAGGAUACACUGUGAGUCCUGCUAGGAGAUUUGCUGUGAGUCCCACAAGAGGCCAUGCUGUAAGUCCUCUAAGAGGCUGUGCUGUGAGUCCUGUUAGAGGCUAUGCUGAGAGACAUACAAGGAGACAUACUAUGAGUCCUGCAAGAGGAUAUGCUGAGAAACAUGCUAGGGGAUAUUCUGUGAGACCUGCAAGAAGAUGUUCUGUGAGCCCUGCAAGAGCUUUUGGUGAGAGACAAGGAAGGCGACAUGUCAUGAGUCCUUCAAGAAGAUAUUCUGUGAGUCCUGCAUUUGGACUAUCUCUGGGACCAGAAGGGAGACCUACAGUGAGUCCUGUAAGCAGACCUACUAUGACAGCUGCAGAGGAACUUGUUCUAGGAGCUGCAGUAGAUCUUACCAUGAAACCAGCAGAAGGAUAUGCUGAGGAAAUUACUGGGAAAUCUGCAGAGCCGUCUACCAGGUCUUCUACUUAUAGAAAUCAAAAUAGAUGGAGAUUCCCAAUCAUGACGGUAAAAUCCACACAAAUAUUAUCUGUAUACUUUUCUUCAAGUCACUUUUUUUCACAACCAUUAUGAUUUUGAAGACAUACUUCCAUGUCAGUUCAUGCAGAUUCAAUUCAUUCUAUGCAGUUUUUCACCUCCUUUCAGCAUUUAUAUUAAAAAUGUAAGA
rnacentral:lncRNA from 9 species